rnacentral:lncRNA from 1 species
AUAACAGAGAGUGGAGGACCGUGUCCACCUGGACAUUACUGUGUAGCAGGGAGCAGCAGAGCCCAGCCUUGCCCUGCAGGGAGUUACAGCCCAUCCUGGAGUAUGGUGCAGUGUUUGGAGUGCCCAGAAGGGUUUUAUUGUGAAACUGCUUCCACAAACUACACGGAUUGCCCUACAGGUCACUACUGCCCCAGGAGUACCAAAUUUGCCACUCAGUAUCCUUGUCCUCCUGGAACGUACAGUGAUGCUUUAAAUAUCAGGGAUGCUUCCAAGUGCCAGCUGUGUCCUCCUGGAAGGGUUUGUUCCAAGCCAGGCCUAACAAGACCAGAUGGUCUGUGCAUGCCUGGAUGGUUUUGUCCACCUGGAUCCAUGUCAAGCAAGCCAGUGUUUCUUGGAAACUACUCAGAUUAUUUAUGUCCCCUGGGUCACUAUUGCCCUGCUGGCAGCCCUGAGCCCAUACCCUGCCCCUCCGGAAAAUACCAGGACCAGGCUGGUAAAAGCCAGUGUGAAAUGUGCCCAGCAGGAAUGUAAGUGAAAUGGAUUUGCUGCUUCAUUUUGAUUCUUUGCUUGCCUAUUCACGUGUGUAUUUCCAUCUGCCUUAGGCAGCUGCACUGUGUGUUGUUUCCUUUGAUACACAUGGCUGGGUUUUUUCUUCCUGUUUUUGUAUUACUUUUCCCUUUAUUAUGGUAUUUUCUGCAUUGCAACCUGCGUUGCAGAAGAUUCAUCCUAGUAGGUGAAUCUGCUGGGAAAGACAGAAUGUUCCUGACAGGCUCCAUCUCAGCUCUCUGUAUCACUUCAAGUAAUUUACUUUCCUUUUCUUGUCAUCUCAGACUGUCGCUGUUGUGCAGAAAGUGUUUCUUAGUCCCUUAGAACAAAGGGAGAGCGUGGACUGAGGCAGUACUUGGAUUUUAUUUUCUAGGUUCUGUGCCCAAGACCACCGUCCAUCCAGUCUCCAUAACAACUCACGUGGAGUGAUCAAACCAAUGGUCUGUCCGGCAGGAUAUUACUGCCCACCAGGCACAAUAGCUGGUAAUCAGUACCCAUGUCCAGCAGGGACUUAUAGUAACAAAACUGGACUGAGAAACCCUAGAGAGUGCUUGCCUUGUCCUGGGGGCACAUUUUGUGCCAGUGCAGGACUCGUUUCCCCAAGUGGUCCAUGUAUGCCCGGGUUUUACUGCACUUUAAAGGCACGUGUACCCAAUCCUGCCAAUGAUGCCACUGGUGGACUCUGCCCAGCAGGCCAUUACUGCCCAGCAGGCAGCAAUGAGCCACAGCCAUGUCCAAAUGGCAUGUUUUUGCCUCAGUUUGGGAUGGCUUACCACAAUGCCUGUCUGCCCUGCCCAGGAGGGAAGUUCUGCCAAGGAGAGGGCUUGAUGAGUGUUUCUGGAUCGUGCUCUGCUGGCUAUUUUUGUGAUGGUGAAUCCACACGGCCGGACCAUAAGCAGUGUCCCCCUGGUUUUUACUGUCCCAAAGGCUCUGAAUCCCCUGUUCCUUGCAGCCCUGGUCACUUCAAUUCUGAGAGAGGAAAGUGGCAGCCAGCAGACUGUCAGCUCUGCCCAGCUGGAUAUUUCUGCAGUGGUUCUGGAGCACAUACUCCUGAGCUGUGCCCUGCUGGGUACUUCUGUCUGCCAGGUACCAACUUCAGUACAGAGCAUCCAUGUCCAGUGGGCACCUUUGGCCCCAGGGCUGGUGCCACCAGUGACUCUGACUGUGAUCCCUGCCCAGCAGGUAUGUAUUGCUCAGCACCAGGUCUUUCACAGCCCUCUGGAUUUUGCUAUUCAGGUUAUCAUUGUGCCAAGGGAGCCAUCAGCCCAACCCCUUUCAAACACAGGGUAGAAUUUGCUGGCCCUGUGUUGCCUGGUAAUGACAUCUGUCCUGCAGGACACUACUGCCCCAAUGGAACUGAGAAUCCCAUGCCCUGCCCUCCUGGCUCCUUCUCUGCUGUCAGGGGCCUGCAGGCAGAAGAGCAGUGCCAGCCCUGCCCCGCUGGCCGAUAUUGCAGCAGGGCAGGAUUGUUUGAUCUGGCUCAGACAUCGCUGUGUAAUGCAGGGUGCGGUGAGACCGUCACUUGUUAG